CGCGACCCCAGGUCAGGCGGGACUACCCGCUGAAUUUAAGCAUAUAAAUAAGCGGAGGAGAAGAAACUUACAAGGAUUCC
rnacentral:rRNA from 12 species